UAUGAUGAAACAACAUCAGCUAAUUCAUCAAUACCCUCGUAAACAUUUGUGAACAAAUCCCAGUCCGUAUUGUGGAAGCAGUCCUGGAGGCAGUGGAUUGAUUCCUCUGACCAAACCGGAACCAAUCUUCUCUCCGGCUUGUUCCUCUUCAGGAUGGAUUUGUAGGACGGAACCAAAUAGACCAUAUUAUGGUCGGACGUGCCGAGUGGAGCUCUGCUGAAGGACUUAUAUGCUCCUUUCAUGGAUCCAAAACAAAGGUCCAGACACUUUGCAUGUGGAGUGGGACACGUCACAUAUUGAUAAAAAAUAGCCAAGAACUUUGACGGUUUGCAGUGAUUGAAAUCACCCAGAAUAAAGCACGGUGCGUCCGGCACUAACCCCUGCAGCCGCUGCACUGUCUUUAGCAUAGCCUGAGUUGCUACAUCAGCAUUAGCCUUCGGGUGAACAUAAACAACAGUAAUAAAUAACUGUGGAAAUUCCCUGGGAAGAUAAAACGGUCGCAGGGAUACGGACAAUAGUUCAGCGUCUUUGGUGCACAGUGUCUUAUCGUAUUACAGCAGUUUUUAUUGACGUAGAGACACACACCUCCGCCCAGUGACUUGCGGGUCACUGCGGGGUCUCUAUCAAGGCGGAAGGGAACUCCAAGUCCAUCAAUCUCCAGUGCUGACUGUGGAUCUUGCUCCUUAAGCCAGGUCUCCAUGAGGGCCAGGAUACAUGCGUCCCUGUACUCUGCCAGAUACUUGACGUUACCCUGAAGCUCAUCCACCUUAUUCCUGAACAUUAGCCAGGAUGACAGUGGGUAGAGGUAUCCGACGGUGGCCCUGCCGCUCUGUCGCAGUCCGCCGCGUUUCCCCCUUUUCCUCGCACGCCUCGGCCCGUCCGACCUGCUCCGGUUUUCCGUGAAGGGAUUCAGCCGACCGAUCUCCGUGGGGACAGCUGUCGAGGGAUCCACGGUGCCCAACCCGGAGUCACGGAACAAAAGUAGGAAGUGGCGGCUAUACUGAAUUUGCCGGUGGAUGAAUCCUGAACGCGGAGCGAAUGUAAAUGAGGGGGAGUUUCCUUCUGCUCUGCACCGGCCUCGUUCCAGAGAUCUCAUCAGAUGUAGAGGAGUACGUCCAGCAUGGAGGUGAGGAGGCUGCAGAGGCAUGACAGCGGUCAGGUCAGUGCCGUGACUCAUCCAGGAAGUGAACCGGAUUCGACCGCCUGGCCUCCAGACAGGAUAUUAGUCCGCUUAGUCACGGCUUCACUCACCGAUACAGCGUGAGUCAAUGCACUGCACGAUUUCUGGGCAUAAAGCAGUGAAAACACAGCAACAUUCAUGUUAAAAAUCUCCAGAUUGGAUUCUGUGCACACUGCAAACUGUCUGCUGUGGUUUAAAUUAGCAUUUUAGCUUGUUUGUAGCAUUUUUAAUACUGUUGAGGAACAUUAUCAUAACAGACAGCCAGAAAUGUCUUCACAGUGCCGGAGAAUGGUCUGCUUCACCUCAUUAUCAUUCUGCUGUAGGUGAAAAAAAACUAUUUAUUUAAACCAAUCACAAUCAUCCUGGGCAGAGUUAAGCCCAGGAUACAGUGAUGGUGCCCCUCCAUGCUUGUUUUCAACUCAAAAGUUAUGGUUCUAUACAGUUAAACUGCAUUUUUAAAUAAGUUUCAAAGCGACUUAUCUUCUAUUUUAUCACUCUACUGUCGCUCAUUUUCAGCCAAUUAACCAGACAUUAGAAGUUGUGAGAUUCCUCGUCCUAAAAAGCAGAGGAAAAGCUUCAAACAUGUCAUGAAAGGCUCAUAUUUUAAUCCAAAUCGGGUUAUUUUCCUAAACCAGAUCACACAGAUUUAACCAAGCUUCUCACAUAAAGUGAUCAGUGUGAAAGUAUCAACAAAUACGGGAUAUUUAUCAAAACCUACAAGCUCUGGUGCCAAAAAGUGACGAAACAGUGAACGAAACUUAAAUCGAAGGAUAAUGGUCCUGUUGUAGAGAGAGGAUGAGGAGGCCGACCCAGUAGAGGCUCGGAUGACUUACUGUAGGCUGAGAGUAAUGUUUACUGAUAUCAGGAGAAGUGAAACUGACAGAGCAGCAGUUCAUGCAGGCACCAGUUCUGAGGAUUCUCUCUGAUCUCUGGCUUCAUAUUGUAGUUGAUGUAGAUUACAGACCAAUAUGGAGACAACAUGUCUGCUUAGUCACGUCAGAAUAGACAAUAUCUAACCUCGAACAGAUAAUUUAGGGUGACGUCAGCUAACAGCUGCAAGGAAAUACCUUAAAAAGGAGAAAGAGUAAGUUUUCCUUUACAGGUUCCACUUGAACAAUGGAGUCCUGUUGCUGAUUUUUGCUCUCAUUGCAAACAAUGUCACCUCAGUCAUCUUGUGUAUUAUUUAAACACCAUAAAAGUUUUGCAAAAUCCUUUAAAAGCAUAGAAAUGUUAUACGAGAUGUGUCAGGAGGGUUGUGCUGUUUAUACGUAAUUCCAAUAUCAAGCUAAACUGUCCUAUUUGUUGGUGAUGCUGAAUGUUUCAGUCAAUCCAUUUUACCAGUUUGAAAUAGUUUUGCAGUUUUACUUCCACAAUGAAGCACUAAAUGGAACUGCAAUCAGCGCUUUUCAAAAAGACAAAUUUAAAUCAGCAUAUUUGGUUGUUUUGUUAAAGAAAUAACAACAACUUAUGUUGCUUUGAGUGCAGUUGUAAAAAGUUAGUUUAUGUUGGUAUUUUGUAAAAAUAAUCAUAAUUGAAUGCAUUUGAGAGCUAUUUAGUUGUCAGGAAGAUGCACCGGAUUGAUUUUAUUAACUUUACAGUACUUGAAAAUAUGCACUGUGCAACAAGAAAAUGGCUUCAGGUUGGAACUUAUUAUCAGCAUAUACAGUACUGUUCAAAAGUUUGGGUUUCCAUGAAAGCUCCCACUUUUAUCCAUGUGCUAACAUAACUGCACAAGGGUUUUCUAAUCAUCAAUGAGCCUUUCAACACCAUUAGCUAACACAAUGUAGCAUUAGAACACAGGAGUGAUGGUUGCUGGAAAUGUUCCUCUGUACCUCUAUGGAGAUAUUCCAUUAAAAAUCAGCUGUUUCCAGCUACAAUAGUCAUUUACCACAUUAACAAUGUCUACACUGGAUUUAUCAUUCAUUUAAUGCUGUCUUUAUUUUUAAAAAAAACUGCCUUUCUUUCAAAAAUAAGGACAUUUCUAAGUGACCCCAAACUUUUGCACAGUAGUGUACACAGUAUUAAAUGACUUGGAUUGACAACUUCAAAAACAGCAUUUGUUUAAUCAAUCAACACAACUUUUGCAAACCAAUCAAAGGAGUAAAGGAUAGAAAUCCUCCCUCUUAAGUCUUGUUCUGUGCUGGUAAAUGCUGUUUUCUGCAGUCAUAUAAUGUUCACACACCUGAUUUGGGAUCUGAGACUAAUUAAACUCCUCAGAUUUACACCGUCAGGUUUAUUUUCUUGGAUAUUACAAAGUUGAAGACAUUACCUGGUUCCUAAUAAACUGGCUCUGACAUGAUGGACCACUGCAGCGCUGCCACGCUCUCCUCAGUGAAUGAUUUGGAUCUAACGGCGGCCCAGGCGUCCGCAGUAUUUCACUACGUAAUAUUCUUUCCAUAUGAAAGCCGCGAGGCGGUGGUUAAAGAAUAGCAAGGUUCCUGGAAGAAAAGCAGUAAAUUAAGUGACAGCUGUCAGGAGUCGGGGCCACGGAAACCAGAAGGAAGGUCAAUGAAGUUUGGAACGACGUCCUGUCACGGCGCUCCGGCGGCCCUGAGCCGGGACGGCGCUCUGACACUGAGUGAUAAAUUGAACAUCACUUUAUGGGACUUGGAGCACCUUGCAGUUCAAAUCUUCAAGUUCCAGAGCUGAAUGUGACACAUUAGAAGCAGCCUGAUGGACUGGAGAGACGUCGGCAUUUAGCUGAACUUAUAACCUGAAGUUCUUUAAAGCUGUGGAGCACAGAAUUCACUUUCUGCACCGCCAGCAUCCCAGAUUUAUAGAGCUCAUAUUAGUGGAAAGUACAGUUAAAACUCCACAGAAUGGGUGUAAUUAAUAGUCCAACAGUGGCUGGUUUCCUCUGCCUGUAUCUGACCUUUUCCUGGCAGCUUCCACCUCUUCACCUGCUUUUACCUCCGUCUAUUAUUUGUUUUUGACCAGCAGGAGGUGAAUGUAUCGGAAGCAGCCCGAGGCGCUGCUAAAAUCCUGCUUAAUGUGCAGCAGGGGUCACAGCAGACAUCGGGCUGGAAUGGAGCUCAGAAAUGUGACCUUAAACUAAUCAGGGCUCAACAUGGAUCCUUUGGCUCUGAGCUGCACAAACCCAAGAACUCAAAUGAAGCAGCGAUGCCCCAGUUUGACCCUUGUUCUGCUUUCUGGGUGAUGCUUUCCAUGAAUGUUUCUUAGAAAGAACUAAACAAGGUGUUGAAAUUGUUAGGAACAGGCAAAGAAUGCUUGUAAAGAAUGCUUGUAAAUGUCUAAAAAUGUCUCGUUGAUUUUCUAACUGGGUGUAAUUAUGUUUGAAAACUGCUGCAACAAAAAGAAAAAUGAUCAUUUUCAAAAAUUGCCAUUUACAUUUGGUAAAAAUGAGAGACUGCUCUGGAAAACAUGUUUUUAGGAUCACUAAAUGCACAUUCUAAAUGGGAUCAAAUACGUUUUCAAGUGGUUUUCAGCAAGUAAGCUAAGAGGAGCUAGCAUCACCAUGCUUUAGCUUGCUAACUAGCUUUUUGUAGCUAAUUAGCAUAUUUCCUCACAUGCUAACGGAAGAGAAAAGUCACCAAGUUGGCAGCAAAUUUUCACAGAUGUCCAAUCAAUGAUGGAGAUGGAGGCAGGCCGACCAACGCUGAUUGGACGUCAGAUUUAUUUUUUCAAGGACGUAGAAACAGCAGAAGCUUUCUCUGAAAUGAUCAUGCAAAGUUCAGGAUGAUCUGAAAAAGCAAAUGGUGUGUUGAGCCAUUUUAAAACCAUAAAAUUUGGUGUAAAUAAAAAAAUAUUCUCCAACAAAUGCAGAAUAGAAAAUUGUUGCUAUAGCAGAAAGAAUCCAGUUCCCACCACCUUAAAUACAGAUAAAUAAGCAAAAAUAUGCUGUAAAUUAAACAAACAAUAAGAAAAAUAUGAAAUGCAAACGAAAACAAAACUGUGACCAGCACAGGAAUCAAGAAAACAACAGCAACAAAAAUUUAAAAAAAUCAUGGUUUUAACAUAAAUUGAAAAGAAAAAUGGAAAGAAACAGAGGUGUUGCAAAUUUAAGAAAAAAAUACAACUCUACAUACUAUACAUAGUUGAUUUAUUGCCAUGCACUGCCUGCAAUUCAUCCAAAAACUUCCUGAAUUUUUGCUGUGUCCCUGUUGGUUACAGCUGAGUCGCUGAUGGUUUCACAUUUGCACCAAAGAGUGCAGAAUUUAAAUUUUUUUACAGAAUUUAAUUAAAGCAAAUGGUAUAUUUUUGGCAGUUUUUAAAUAUAGAAUAAAGCAAAUUUGAUAUCACAUGUUUUUAAGCUCACACUUGCAAUAAUUCCUUCUAAAAUCUAAAAAAAAUAUAUAUAUAAAAACUAUAAAUACAAUAUAAAUAUAAAACAAGAUGCAUGAUGAGAAUCAAACAGCAUUAGAGACUGUUUUUCUGCUGCCUUUGGGUCAUAAAUAAGCACAUUUUCCCAAAACGCUGAACUAUUUCUUCAACAUACUGACGUGUUUGAGGCUUGAGGAGAGAAAAAGUGAGAAAAUUCAAGAGCAAAGAUGGAGAUAUUUGGUAAAUCAGAGGUGGAAUGAGGAGUUGGAGGAUGAUAUCGGUGUGCUGUGUUAUUUAUCACCAGGACAGCUGCAGAUAUGGAGUCUCAUUACACAGAAACACACUUUUUAUACACACCGACGCAAACUUGCUUCCCUCCUCGGCUCGUUUCUGAGUCACACAAACAAACAUACAUUUCAAUUAAGGCCCGGCUCGGCGUGAUGAAUGUGGUUACCUUUUAAUUUCAAUUACAGCGCCUGUUUAGCUAGCCGCGUGCUACGGCAACAUCCAGCCGCCUUCAAUUACGACACACAAAGAGCAGUGAACGCACACUGCUGCAGGACGAGGCGCACACAUGCAAGCUCACAAAAUGAGAUUAGCUCAUUUAGCUCUUGUCUGGACACAUUUUUCACCCCCGUCCGGCUGACAGCUGCUCUAACACCUAUUUCGAGUUUCCGAAGGGCAGCUCUUUGCAUCCGCUGACGACGUGUGGAAACUAAUCAUUAUCGCCACAAAUAGAAGCGUUGUUUAUUCAUUUAUUUAUAAGGUGAAAAAAGAGCGUCGCACAUGAAGAACGAGCGAUGGCAGACGUAAUUAUCUCAAAUGAAUUCCUCUCCACACGAAUCAGAAAGAGUUUGUAACCUACUUUGAGGCAGGCGGGUGUCGAGUCCUGCUUCCUAAACUUCCUCCACACGGGGAGGAUCUGCUGAGCAGGCAGGAGCUUCGUCUACCGAAGGUGUGAAAUCACACCUGAGAACCGCUCAGGACGACCACGGCUAUAAAAAGACCGCUGCAGCUAGUUUUAAUUCUCAUGAUCCUGUGCAGACCUGGCAACCUGAAACACACUUUAAACAAGAAAAAUAAUCAUCUCAGUUUGUUCAAUGCAGCAAAAUGUGGGAUCAAAAAGUUGUGGGACUGUUCAAGCAUGGAGAUCUGCAGUGACAUGGAGUUAUAAAGUCAUGAAACAUUGGACUGAUGGAGUAAAAGGUUAAAGUUCAAAUGGCAUGUUAGCUUUAACAAAGUCACCAAAAUGACACCAGAAACUGUAGAACAGGUUGGUUCUUUCUUAGUUUGGGUAGAUUUUGCAUGUCUGAUUGUUGAUUUUGCAUCUGUUCUGUGUUGGUUUGCGUCUCUUAGGUCAUUUUGUGUUGUUGCAUCACAUAGCUGUUCUUUUGCCUCUUUUUGAGGUAGUUUUGCAAAGAAAAAAUUAUUUUUUUGUCUUUUUGAAAUGCAGUUCAUGCAAAUUUUUACUGAAUCAUUCUGUACAAAGACAUUUCUGAGUUUUCUCUCCUUCUUCAUGUUGUUCUGUUUCUAUUGAGCUGCAGGACUUUAGAUCUUUUACCGUCUUUUUGCAUCAUGUAGUUUAUAUUUGGUAUCUCUUUGUGGCCAUUUUGUGUGUAUUUUGUUAACUUUGUUGCUCUAUUUUGUUGGUUCUGUCUGUUUUUGGAGUUUAUCUCUUGUUUGGUCGUUUUUCUAGGUGUGUCUGUUGAUUUUACAUCGACUUUAAGUAGGUUUGCAUCUUUUUCUGGUCAUUUUGUGUUGCUGCAUCCUGUGAUUGUUCUUUUGCAUCUCUUUGUGUUAGUUUUGCAACAAAAUUAAAUUCUGUUUUUCUUUUUUUAUAUAAGUUCUGUCAUUCUGAGUUCUCUCUCCUUCAUUCUGUUUCCACAGAGCUGCAGGACUUUAGAUUGCAGUGAAAAAUGAACCACAGUGAAGAAAAACACACCCAGAGACUGAAUUAAAGCACUCGAACAUUCAUUGAGUGACAAAUAUCUCUGAAGAAAUGAAAUAUUAAAGCAUCUCAGAGUAAACCAUAAUAUUCUGUAAACAUGCCACAACAUGAAAUAAUCCUGAAAAUCUAAAUACAUUGGAAAAAAAAUGUCUCGAUUGGAUGUCUGGAGAGGCUGGAACUCCUCCAGCGCAGCCGCCUGACAGUUGUGGAAAUGAACUCAUUUAAAAUGAAAACUGAAAUUGAGAGUGAGAAGCAGAAAAGUGGGGAGGAAGAGGCUGAUAAAGCUCGACAGACUGAUAAAAGGCCGAGGAGGAGGAGGAGGAGGAGGAGGAGGGAAACAGGUAAAGACGAGUACAACCCCACAGCGAGAGAGGAAGAGAGACACCCAACGGCGGGGAAAAGUUUCUGUCAUUUCAGCGACAGCGAUUGAAGCCGCUGUGACAAAACACCGAAAACAGGCGAAGCGACGGGAAAAUAGGUCACACUUCUAGAGCGACGCUCACGCUCACAGCAGGAGCGACACCUGAGGAGUCGAUUGGAGGGAAUAAAUAAGUCACACAAACACUCACCACCUCCAGAGGCAAUCAGAGCAGAAUUGCUCUAACUAGACAAACCCUCCGGAUGGAAGAGCUCUCAGGGCAGAUUGUGUUUCCGACCCGCAGCGUCGUGUUUUCACGUGCACACACCAUCCUGCACAAAGACAAACACUCAGCGUCAACUGGAAGCCAUCGGUUCGAAAUGUGACACGGAAACAAAACAAUCUGGAGGGUUUCCAACAGGAAGUGGAAAUGAAACAGCACAAAACACAAACACCAAGUCACGACACAAAACACACAAACACCGACUCACGACACAAAACACACAAACACCAAGUCACGACACAAAACACACAAACACCGACUCCCGACACAAAACACACAAACACCGACUCCCAACACAAAACACACAAACACCGACUCCCAACACAAAACACACAAACACCGACUCACGACACAAAACACACAAAUACCGACUCCCGACACAAAACACACAAACACCGACUCCCGACACAAAACACACAAACACCAAGUCACGACACAAAACACACAAACACCGAGUCACGACACAAAACACACUCGUCUGGCUGCACCUCAUUGUCACUGUGUUUCUUUAAACCAAUCACAAACGCUUUAGGGAUGAGCAAAACCAAGAAUGCAGUUCCGUGUUCGUGCAAAAUAGUAGCAGAGGGAGCAUUUGCUUGCAAGAAGAUCAGAAAAAAACUUUAUUAAUCACCAGAUUUCGCUCAGAAAGUCAAAAUUGCAUAAAACGAGAAAAAAAAAUGCAGUCCCUUGUAGAAAAGGAAUAAGAAGCAAGUAUGAUAAAGGACAGAUUGAACCUGCAAAACGACAAAAGCGAGACAGAAAACAACAAAAAUGAGACAAAAAAAUUACAAAAGAGAGAAAAUGACAAAAAUGAGACAGAAAAUGAGAAAAACAAGACAGAAAAUGCCAAAAACAACAUACAAAAUGACAGAAACAAGACACAAAGUGACAGAUUAGACAGAAAACCAAAAAACAAGACACGAAAUAGAAACGAGACAGAAAAUGACAAAAAUGAGACAAAAUGAGAAAAGACAGAGACACAAAACGAAGUACAAAAACUGCAGUUCCUUGAAUGUCCACUUGAGGCUCCAACAACGAGUCGGUCCCCAUAGACCUUCAUAUUAAAAUGGCCCACUUUAUAGCAGAAUUAAACUCAUUUACAUUCCAGGACAGAGUUGGUUUUGGUCUUUUUAGCUAAUUUCCACCUUCUUGACAACUGUACUUGUGGUGAAUUUUUAUAAACUCAUCUUUUUAAACCAUAUUAAGGCUUAAAGUUUUGAAGGUUUAAACACAAUCAGUUCAACAACAAAGGAAAAACUUAUAUAUGAGUAAGAAAAAUCUACAAUUACAGUCACAUAACAGCGACUGAACAGCUGAUUUCUGUUGACAGAAGUGGCCACAUGUUGAUUAGAAUGUUUGCUAAACGUGAUCAACGCUGCAUCAGUAAGUGGAUCGCAAUCAGUUUAAUUGGAGCAAAUUUUUUCACACUGUUGACAUCCGUGUAGCUCACACUGGUCCAAAGAAACACAAACCUGCUGCUGCUGCUGCUGCUGCUGCUGCUGCUGCUGCUGCUGCUGCUGCUGCUGCUGCUGCUGCUGCUGCUGCUGCUGCUGCUGCUGCUGCUGCUGCUGCUGCUGCUGCUGCUGCUGCUGCUGCUGCUGCUGCUGCUGCUGCUGCUGCUGCUGCUGCUGCUGCUGCUGCUGCUGCUGCUGCUGCUGCUGCAGAGGAAACUCAGGUUCAGUUCCUCAUUGUGUUCAGAUGCAGCCCCAUUAGUAGGAGCUGAUAAUAGCAACACGGAUCAAUUAAUGGACCUGUUCUACCUCCAAGCAGCUGAAUAGAGCAGCAGCACGGCGUUCAGAGGAGGGUGUUUUCUGCUUUAAAACAUGCUUUCAAACCUAUUGUGUGCAGGUUUUAUCCACUAGAGCCGCCGGUUCUCUGCAGCAGCUUUUAUUAAAAUGAAGGGUGGGAACGAGGAUGUAGGCGUCGGAGGCCAACCACAAAUCAAUCUGUUUUAUUGUCCCCCCUGAGAGGGAAGUUCAAUAUCUUUAGAGCUCAGAGGGAGCGCUUCUUCCUGAUUGAAGGGAAGUCUUGGUUUGUCUUUGAGAGUUUCUGAUGGUCUUCAAUCAGGCAGUGAAAUAAUCAUGUCAAGACUCUGCCGCUGUUUUUCAUGAAGAACUAUCAAAAAAAAUCUGUUAAAAAAUGUUCAGUCAGCCAGAAAAAAUACAUUAAAUGGUAGAUUUCAGCUGAAUUUACUAUCAUUUAGAUUAAUCGAUGAUGGCUGAUAGACUGAUUGUUAUUUGUCGUCUUAAUAAAGUUACUGUUGUGUCUAAA